GAACUUAAUUAAGUCUUUAGUAACUUUAUGUCGUCUUUUGCUCUUUCUCAGUUAAAAAAGUUUGGGUGGAAAGAGGGUGAAGGACUAGGCAAACGUAAACAGGGAAUAAAGAAAUAUAUUAAAGUUGCUCAAAAACAAGAUCUAUUGGGGAUUGGUUCUAGUGACGACCAUUGCUUUGCCUGGUGGGAUCACUGCUAUAAUGAAACCGCCAGUAAACUUGUUGUUACUAAUAACCAUAAAGGAAAUAAAUUAUUAAAGAGAAUUAUAAAGCAGAAGAUAGGAAACAAAGUAUUGACUCUGACUAUUUUUGCAAGAAUUUCGUGAGCGUUUCAAAGGUAAACGAAAGAACUGAUUACUCUUCCAAGUUCACCGAUGCAGAAAUAUUUGAAGCCUGUGGAAGAAGAACUGCCUUUAAGGGUGCGCGCGGUAUCCACAGAAAUGCUAAGCGAACAGCAUCACCUUCAAAAAUUCCUGUGAAAUCUCUUAAAAAAAAGAAAAGUACUAAAAAGAAAACCACACGUAAAAGGAGCAAAUAGCACACCAGCGAAUAAAUACAAUUCUACAGUUUAGAAGAUUCUUCUGAACCGACUUCUAAUUUUAUUAAUAUAGACACCAGUUAUAUUACAACGCUUACGUCUUUCUGCACUGACCGCUGACCGCCCCGUAUUCGGCCAGUGCGGCGGGCAGCGAUAAGUCCGACUUUUCGGCCUGGUGGGGCGUCCCGACGAACUGUCGAGGGAUGUCCGAUGUGUUGGUGGUUACCACCCCCGUGUGGAUGCUCGACGGGAUUCAUGGCAACGCCUCGUACACGCGGCCAGCAGUUUCUCUUAGCUUUGUACUUGUAGUAGGCAUUUCCGGCCUUUAGUAAGGGCUUGUCCAGGCGCCCGCCUCCUGCUACGAUGCCGACUAUAGCGCGGUUACCGGAGGGAAUGAUUUUCUUUGCGCCAGACGUGCAAAAGUUCCCGGAAGUUCUAGCUAAAGAUCCGCGGUCACCCUUCUUUUCCUCUACAUUACAAACUAUGGUGCCUUCUGGCAUUUCUC